AAUAGAUACCCCGGUAGUCCACGCCGUAAACGAUGAGUGCUAAGUGUUAGAGGGUUUCCGCCCUUUAGUGCUGCAGCUAACGCAUUAAGCACUCCGCCUGGGGAGUACGGUCGCAAGACUGAAACUCAAAGGAAUUGACGGGGGCCCGCACAAGCGGUGGAGCAUGUGGUUUAAUUCGAAGCAACGCGAAGAACCUUACCAGGUCUUGACAUCCUCUGACAACUCUAGAGAUGGAGCGUUCCCCUUCGGGGGACAGAGUGACAGGUGGUGCAUGGUUGUCGUCAGCUCGUGUCGUGAGAUGUUGGGUUAAGUCCCGCAACGAGCGCAACCCUUGAUCUUAGUUGCCAGCAUUUAGUUGGGCACUCUAAGGUGACUGCCGGUGACAAACCGGAGGAAGGUGGGGAUGACGUCAAAUCAUCAUGCCCCUUAUGACCUGGGCUACACACGUGCUACAAUGGAUGGUACAAAGGGCUGCAAGACCGCGAGGUCAAGCCAAUCCCAUAAAACCAUUCUCAGUUCGGA
rnacentral:rRNA from 1 species